ACGGGUGAGUAACACGUGAGUAACCUGCCCUUGACUCUGGGGUAAGCCUGGGAAACUGGGUCUAAUACCGGAUAUGACUCCUCAUCGCAUGGUGGGGGGUGGAAAGCUUUUGUGGUUUUGGAUGGACUCGCGGCCUAUCAGCUUGUUGGUGGGGUAAUGGCCUACCAAGGCGACGACGGGUAGCCGGCCUGAGAGGGUGACCGGCCACACUGGGACUGAGACACGGCCCAGACUCCUACGGGAGGCAGCAGUGGGGAAUAUUGCACAAUGGGCGCAAGCCUGAUGCAGCGACGCCGCGUGAGGGAUGACGGCCUUCGGGUUGUAAACCUCUUUCAGUAGGGAAGAAGCGUAAGUGACGGUACCUGCAGAAGAAGCGCCGGCUAACUACGUGCCAGCAGCCGCGGUAAUACGUAGGGCGCAAGCGUUAUCCGGAAUUAUUGGGCGUAAAGAGCUCGUAGGCGGUUUGUCGCGUCUGCUGUGAAAGACCGGGGCUCAACUCCGGUUCUGCAGUGGGUACGGGCAGACUAGAGUGCAGUAGGGGAGACUGGAAUUCCUGGUGUAGCGGUGAAAUGCGCAGA
rnacentral:rRNA from 1 species